GGAGGCCAUGCACCCUCCCCCAGGAAAUAGGAGAUGGAUUACAUCACUGCUGGUAAAAUGAGGUGAUUCUGAGCAGACAGCUUGUGGCAAUGGUGGAAAUGAGCAGAUGGGGGACCAAAGAGAACGGGAGAAGGAGGGGUCACAUCUAAACCUGAAGCUGAGAUAUGCACAUUAGGCAAAGCCUGAGGCCCAGAGAGUGACUUGCUCAGCAUGACUACAUCGCCCAGUUACUUAGUGGGGGAACCAAGAUGAGAACUGGCAUGCUGUCAUUGGAGGAGCUGUGUCAAACAAGUCCAUAUGCAGAAGUCCUGACUCCCAGGACCUUGGAAUGUGUCUGUAUUUGGAGAUACCAU